UGCGUAGGUGGCGCUGUAAGUCGGGUGUGAAAUCCUGAGGCUUAACCUCGGAACUGCAUUCGAUACUGCGGCGCUUGAGGACUGGAGAGGAGACUGGAAUUCAUGGUGUAGCAGUGAAAUGCGUAGAGAUCAUGAGGAAGACCAGUGGCGAAGGCGGGUCUCUGGACAGUUCCUGACACUGAGGCACGAAGGCCAGGGAGCAAACG
rnacentral:rRNA from 1 species